rnacentral:lncRNA from 1 species
CUCUGCAGGCUUGAUCAUGAUUUUUUUUAAGUACUAAAUAGUACUCCAUUGUUUGGAUAUACAAUUGGAUAUACAUUGUUUUACUCUCCUAUUAAAGAGUGUCUUAGUUGCUUUCAGGUUUUGACAAUUUGAAUAAAGCUGUUAUUAAUAUCCACAUGUUGGUUUUUAUGUGGACAUAAAAUUUCAUCUCAUUUGGAUAAAUGCUAAGGUAUACAAUUGCUGGAUCAUAUGGAAAGACUAUGCUUAGAUUUGGAAGAAUUGGUCAAAAUUGUUCUUCCAGUUAGCUGAACCAGCAAUGAAUGAGAAUUUUUAUUGCAUCAUGUCCUUUCCAAUAUUUGAUAUUGUUGGUGUUUUGAAUUUUAGACUUUCCAAUAACUAUGUAGUGACAUCUCAUUGUUGCUUUAAUCUGCUACUCCCUAAUGACUGUGCUUAUUUUCCAUGUGCUUUUUUGCCAUGUAUAUAGUUUUCUGUUUUGCCAUGUAUAUAGUUUUCUUUUGCCAUUUAUAUUAGAUCAUUUAUUUUCUUAGUAUUUAGAUUUAAGGCUUCUUUGUAUAUUCUGGAUACCAGACUCAUCCAAUAGAUGUUUUGAAAAUAUUUCCUCCCAAUAUGUGGUUCAUCUAUCCAUCUUAUUAACAAUGUAUUUUCUAAACUGGAAGUUCUUUAUUUUAAUGAAGUCAAAUUUAUCAUUUUUUUCCCAUGGAUUUUGCCUUUGGUAUUAUUGUGUCCAAAUAAUAUUUGCCAAAUCCAAGGUCACCUUGAUUUAUUCCUAUGUUAUCCUCUAGGAGUUUUAUAGUGCUAUGUUUAUGAUCCAUUUUGAGUUAGUUUUAGUGAAAAGUAUUAGGUCUGUGUCUAGAUUAAUCUUUUUUAAACGUGUGUGUAUCUAGUUGUUCCAGCACCAUUUAUUGAAAGGACUAUUCUUUUGCAGUUAAAUAGCUUUUUUUUUCUCUGUCAAAGAUCAGUUGACUAUAUUUGCACAGAAAGAGAAUAUUUUAGGAAUCGAUUAUAGAAAUUAAAAAAGAUAGGAAUAUAAUUGCCAGCUUAUAUACAAAAAUAGUUUAUGUUAUAGAAGGCAAUACAAUCAUAACACUGGGUUCUUCUAGACAGGAAUUAAUUGCAUCUCUACUGGAUUAAAAAAUAUCCAUAACUUAAUGUGCAACUACAGAGUCUAGGUCAUAAUCAGUAGUAAGUAUUAUAUCAAGCAAAAGCAUAUCCUUAUAGAUCUGAGCUUAAAUGACACAUCUUCAGGAAGGUCUUUCUCUAGUAUGCUAUCUUCAGUCUCCUCCCAAAGGUCAUUUUAUCACAUCAUAUAUUUAUUUCCUUUUUUAAUAUAUAUUCCUGACCCCUAUAACUCCUAUGAACAAAUAACAAGUGUAAAAGAAAUGAGACCUCCCAUUUGUCCAGCUCCCUUGCAUUUAAGCUGGCCCUGUUGGUUUGCUACCAGAAGUAAUUCCAGGCAUGAGCAUAGGAAAUAUGUUGUGAGUCCUUCUUUUUGCAUUGUAGACUGAUGAAAAAUGUAAGAUCUUGUUUGGAGGUAAAGGAGAAUGUCAAGAUCUAAGCUGCCUAAAUGACAGAUUUGCCACAAUGUUGUCUAGACUGAUGGCUGAACCUUAAGGAUAGCAAGAAAUAAAAUUUUGUGUGUAUGAAAUUUUGGUGUCAUUUGUUAGCACAAUAAAACAUAUGCUAUCCUGAUGAAUAUAGCAUGUACAUGUUAAUACAGUAUACACAUAUUUAGAUGACUGGGUAAAGGAAAAUGAAGAAAAUAUAUUUAGUCCAAUGAGAACAAUCCUAAAUGCAGCAAAAUAAUUUCAUUUCAAAAUGCAAGUGAAUUUAUUGCGUCAUUCAACUUCCCAGAGAAUUAUGGAAGGUUUCCGCCUAAUUGUAUACUUGUGCAUCAUAUGUCUAUGGGACCCAUGUACUUAGCAGUCAUAUGUGACCCAUGUAUUUAGCAGUCACUAAUUAACUACUCAAUUAAAGUGAAAGCCAAGUUGGAUCUAGUAAUAAGAGGUUCUGCCUGAGUUACUCUAAAAUUUUGAGACAUAAGAACCUGGAAAGCAGUUACACGGGUUAGGAGCAAACGUCAUAGACGUGUCCAAGAUCCAAUAAGAUCAGUCAUCAGCUUAUGUGUAUAUGGUUAAUCCUCUCAAGUUCAAAUUUGGUCUUUAUUCUUAUCUUUUGCCUGUUUAAUCUUGGCCUUCAUAUCUGUCCUCCUCUGUUUUGCUAGGUACUUUAGGACACUGAAGAUUUACAAAUUGUAUUUCUUCCUUGUCUUGUCAGCCAGCUUUCUGAUAGAUUCUGCCAAGAGAAAGCAUUGUUGGUAGAUCAAAACGUGGAAGGAGUAGAAGAACUUUCUGAUUCUGGUACAGCAGUUUCUGGCAGGAGCUAGAAUUACCUGGAGCAGUGAUAACAGUGAACUAUCAGUGAGCACCAGCAUUUGUUUGAUCGUUUCAAUGCUGAUCACUUUACCAGUGUGCUCAGAACUACAACUGUGGCCUCUUCUUGGGGGGUGGGGGGGAGUGUUGGUUGACACAGGCUGGUAGCCUCCAGCCCAGAUGCAUCCGCAACUUAGAUUUCCUGAUAGUAUCUUUUUUUUAAUUCUUUCAGUCCCUAUCAUCCUGCUUUUGAUCAUUCAGGCCCUUUGUCAACCUUGUAAUCACUCAGCCUGUUUGAACAACAUAGACUGAUUUCUAUUUCCCUGAUGGGACUGUGGCAGGCACAGUGAUGGUGUGUUUGACAUGGUACAGGGAAGGCAAUAGUGAGGGAACUGGAAAUUUGUCUGAAGCACAUUUUGCCACACAAAUGAGGGUAUGGGAUAUAAUGCAUAGUAAAAGGAAAAAAAUUUCAUAUUUAAUAUGCGCAGUUUUAUUUACUCAUCUGAAUGUCUCUUGGACAUUGAAAAUUGAAGUAAAUAAUCAUACAGACAUCUAGGUAACCUGAAAUUGCUGCCUGAAGUUUCAUGCCCUAAAAUCCAUGCACUUUACUCUGUUGGAUAUGUCUUUUUCACACUCUUCUAACAAGCCCUUUUAUCUCUCUCCUCAGCCCAAGGUAAAUGUCCUUGGAACAACAAUUUUAUCUGGGGGUGUUAGAAUUACUCUUAAAAGCAUAGUGACCAAAACCAAGGUUAAUAACUGACAGCUUAACAAUAGAGGAAAAAGAAAUACUCAAAAAAAGAAACAUGGGAAUUCUUAAAGUAUAAUCAUAAGAAUAAAAUGUAUAGAGGCACAUUUAUUUACAACUUUAAAAAUAUCUCCAAAUGUGUAUAAGUAUCCAUUUUUUCUAUGACUUUAAUCAUUAAUACACUUUAUCUCUAAAAUUUUAAAAUUCCAGGAGUAUAUAGUUGUAUAGGUAUAAUUACAUGACAAAUAUUACCUGUUUUAAUUAAGCAGGAAAAGUACAUAAAUGGCUCUGAUAGGUAAAUGAGAUUUUCUUUAUAUAUAAUGUCCAUGGACAGUUUGUUUUUAUAUUGAUUACUCAGCAUAACUUUUAAUGGUGCCAUAUUUUACACUUAAGAUUUUUCUGGUUUGUAUAAGAAAUUUCAUCGUUAUCCUAUUGGUAAUGUACUUAUAAUUUAUUGUAAACUAUGCAUUUUGGUUAUAUCCAGUGGUUAUAAUUUCUGACAUAUGGUAGUAAUGACAGAGAUUGUUAGUUGUCCUCAAUAUCUAUGCUCCUGUCUUUCCAGAAUUAUAAAUGCCAAUUCAGAAUACACAUGACUUUUUAAGGAGCUAAGUGUGGCUGUGUGGAUAAGUUCAGUGGGAUAUGGACAAAGAUGUCAUCUGGAAGUUUCCUGAGGACUUACUUAAGAGAGAGCUUGUAGAUACAUUUUGACUUUAUUUUCAUCCCCUCCUUGUCACUCCUUGGGAUGUGUAUGCUCCAUUUGGACAUGAGGUUGUAGAGGGGGGCAAACCCUUCCAGAAUAAGGCAGAUUUCUCAACCAGAAAGUCUUUGGUUCCCUGGGGAGUUCGGAGAGCCAGUAACCAGCUCUGAACCACUUAUCUGUAGAAUGUUUAUACAGUAGAGAAAUAAACAUAUGUCCUGUUUAAGACACCUUUAUUUGUUGUCAAAUAUAGUAUUUACUGAGAUAGUAGAUAUUUAAUAAAUGUCCAAAUAGUGAAUCAAUUAUUGGAUGAAGACCAAACUAACAUUCAGUCAAACCUAGAGACAAUAUUUUAUUUAAAAUGCUUCAGGGAGUUCCCAUUGUGGAGCAGCGGAAAUAAAUCUGACUAGUAACCAUGAGGUUGUGGAUUUGAUCCCUUGCCUUGCUCUCUGGGUUAAGGAUCUGGCAUUGCCAUGAACUGCAGUGUAGGUCGCAGACGCAGCUCGGAUCUGGCAUGGCAGUUGCGUAAGCCAGUGGCUACAGUUCCUAUUUGACCCCUAGCUUGGGAACCUCCAUAUGCUGUGGGUGUGGCCCUAAAAAGCAAAAUAAAUAAAUAAAUAAUAAAAUGUCUUCAGCAGCAAGGUACAGAAAAAUCCAACUCAAAUUGCUUGAACAACAUUAAUAUAUAUUUGCUCAUGUAACAGCCAGCACAGGAUUCAGGGUCUGAUGUUUAAUGGCAAGUAGUGUCAUGAUUUAUACAUAUUCUUUCUAUGGUGUCACUCCCGGUCAUCCCUUGGCAGUCAUGGUAGAUUUAGAGUGAUCGCAGGAAGUAAUAACAACCUUAUUCAGCAGGAAAGGAAUGACUGUACCCUAAAUUUUAGAAGCGAAAAACUUUUCUGGGAAGUUAGUUGUAAACUCACAUUGUCUUGAAUUGUUCUCGUUCCUUUCAUCAUCAGAAUCCUAUGUGCUGAUUUGACUUAGGCUGGGGUUUUUGAAGCAGUAAACGGCAAAGAGGCUGAGAUAUUCAUUAGAGUCUUAGACUAUUUAAUAUUUAUAGAAAAAAAGAGCAUUUAAGAAAAUGAAAGUAGAUUUUUAUAUAAAAUUAAAAAAAUUAAAUUUUGCUUUAAGGCUGUUUUUCUAUAAAUAUUCCUAAGGUAACAGUGAGCACUGAUACAGAAAUUUCAAAGCAUUUGAUCUGCAAAGUUAUACCUGGCAGGUCUGUCUUAUUUUUGGCCUUUUUAUUUUUCACUUUUGAGUAUUUGGCAGGACUAAUCAUGUUGAUUGAUAUGUGGUAAAAAGACACUGAUGUGAAAACUGCUUCUGAGCAAUAUGUUGCUGAUGAAAAUGAUGCAAUUCAAGAUUUUUAAAAUAGUAUUAGGAGAUGCAUGGAUUUUAGUGAUAUUGGAAUAAGACUUCUAUUUGGACUGAUAUCUGCUAAUGGUUAAGCUAAAUUGCAAUGCCAGUAGCAUUUCCUGUCAAAAGAGAAAAUGAGACUUAAAAAUGCCUAGAAAAGUUUUCUUUAUAGUAUAUCAUUACAUUAUAAAUCAAUCUGGGAAAAUUAUGUAGGUGGUUAUCAAUGGCUACAAGGUGAAUUGUCCAUUUUUCUUACUUUGAAACGUACUUUCAGUAUUCUGCUCAGUUUUCUAGGUUAAAUAUAAUAUGGUAAGCACAGAUAAUAAGAAGCCACAUUUUUCAAUCUCACACUUCCUAUUACUUUUAGAAUUAUAUCUAUU